rnacentral:rRNA from 1 species
CAGCAGCCGCGGUAAUACGAAGGGUGCAAGCGUUAAUCGGAAUUACUGGGCGUAAAGCGUGCGUAGGCGGUUUGUUAAGUCUGUUGUGAAAUCCCCGGGCUCAACCUGGGAACUGCAUUUGUGACUGGCAAGCUAGAGUGUGGCAGAGGGGGGUGGAAUUCCGCGUGUAGCAGUGAAAUGCGUAGAUAUGCGGAGGAACACCGAUGGCGAAGGCGGCCAUCUGGGACAACACUGACGCUGAGGCACGAAAGCGUGGGGAGCAAACAGGAUUAGAUACCCCAGUAGUCCCUGUCUCUUAUAC